GUCCUUUUGUGGUUCACAAGCAUGAUUGGGUUUUCAUGCUAUUGUGUGAGAUAUGCCUCCUUCUAAACUUUGUGAUAAUGUCAGGGGAAUUACACUGUGUUC